AAUUCGAACAAUCACAAGCUAACUUCUUUCUCCAAUUUUGUAUCCACGAUUGGUUGAUUCCAUCAACAUUAUGUCCUAUACUUAAAAAUUGAAUAUAUUUAAUAGCAAAUAUGCUGCAGUCACCGCUACAAUUGAACAAGAAUGGAUCAAUUCAGUACUGUGUAGCUAAAAACUAAAUCUGAAAUAUGAAAACAACAAAGUUCAAACACUUACCUUAUGGACUGUCGUGUUGUCGUCGUGUUCCGAACAAUUCGCAAUCUGUCAUGUACAGUCAUUCUCGCUCGUGUGGCCAUCAUAAGAACAAUUAUAGCUACGGACUCCAGGUUUUGCUCGAGGUGGUCUUCUGUCAAACAUAAAUGAUUUGGGUCGUACACAUAUAUAGUCUUGUCAGCAAAAACGAUCUCUAGCGUUACAUAGUGAUUAUUGAUGCACGCUGAAAUUUACAUAUGUAUACAACUCUCUCAUGAUUUUUCCCCGACACUCGGCGACAUUCCUAUGACCCACUCGAGCAUAUAUUCUGGUACCAUGUACUCAUUAUCCAUAAGUUGGAGUGACUGAUAUUCUAUGGUAACGGCACACAUAAACUCGAUGUUUAAUAUGACUCGACCAUGGACAUCAAAUGAUUUUGGAUGCUUUGAGCUCGAUCUCGCAGCAAGUCCAUGGCCAGGUUGAUAUGCUGCAUCAGAAAACACCAAAAAAGUAUGAGUUAUUCAUUUAAUAAACACAAAGUGACGUAUACAUAAAAAACACAAAAUGAAUAGUUCAUUUACAUCGUCGGCGAGCCAAGCUCCCGAAGUGGUGAUAUUGUGGAACCACUUGUAAGCGUCCGAGACCGUCCUUUGACCUAUCGUGCGGAUAACUCUGAAGAAAAAGGAAAAUGUUAAAAUAAAUAUAGACGAGUUAGCGUACAGUGCUUUAUUAAAAUCAUACAAUACUUACCCGGGGAUAAUUCUCCUCCACUUCGUCUCGAACGCUUUCCACUUGAUGUUGUCCACCUCCCUGAAUAAGUUCGGGUGCAUCUCAUCGAUGAACGUCCUCCUCUUGGCCUCAGCCGUGAAGGGGGAAAACAACAUAUUGUGACGGCACUCUCAACCUCUUGUCGACCACCUGCUCCGUCUCAUUAACAGCAUGUCUUUUACCCUCAAUCACGACGGGCGUCCUUUCGACCUUCAGGACCACCUCCUUCGUCGCUACCUCCUCUAUCUCCACCUCCUCCGCC
rnacentral:lncRNA from 1 species